UACGAAGGGGGCUAGCGUUGCUCGGAAUUACUGGGCGUAAAGCGCGUGUAGGCUGCUUCGCAAGUCGGAUGUGAAAGCCCUGGACUCAACCCAGGAAGUGCAUUCGAAACUGCAGAGCUGGAGUCCUGGAGAGGAAGGCGGAAUUCUCGGUGUAGAGGUGAAAUUCGUAGAUAUCGAGAGGAACACCGGUGGCGAAGGCGGCCUUCUGGACAGUGACUGACGCUGAGACGCGAAAGCGUGGGGAGCAAACAGG
rnacentral:rRNA from 1 species